UGAGGAGCGCUGGUAGAGCUGUGGACCAGUUGUGUGGAGUCACAUUAUUUCUGUUCAUAACACAUUAGCUCACCGUUACACUACAGAUCCAGGAAUGCUGGCACCUCUUCUACGACCAACUGGAUUCAGAGGCGUUGCUGUGGAGGUCUUCAAAAUUAAAAACACAGCGGUCUCUUACAGGUCAGCUGUAAGCCCUGCUUGGCUGACGGCCACCACAUCCCUCCUGUCCUACCUCGGCCGGUCGGAUGCUUUCUCAGCAGCUGGCACACGUUGGCCGGCAACACCAAGGAAGCGGUGUUUACUUUUAACCAAAAGAAGGAAGCGUACCAAAACCAAAGUGGGAAAAGGCAACUAACAGCUUUAACCAGCUGGAGGU